GGUUGAUCGGUCCCAGUGUUAGUCAUCGGUGAUAACAUUAUUUCUGCGUCAUUCUACAUCGAUUAUAUAUAUAUAGAGAGAGAGAGCGAAAGAGGAAGGUAGCCUUUUCGCAAAUUUAUUUAUUUUUUAGGAAUGAAUGAAGCCAACUAGUUAAAGUAAUUAGAUUUUGAAUUUGAAACCUCUCGAUGAUCGAGUUCUUAGCCCGCUGCACU
rnacentral:lncRNA from 1 species